AACCAUAGAAACCUGCGGAGUACCUGCGGAGGGAUCAUUAUAGUAUAUGGAAUCUCCAUUCUAUAAACCCACUCUGCGUAUCUUGUAACUGUUGCUUCCAUGGGACUUGGUUCCGCCACACCGGCUUCACGGCUGGUGAGCGCCCAUGGAAGGAGAAACAAAACUCUUCUUUGAAAUGUAGUCAGUCUGAACAAGUUUUUAUAGACGUUAAAACUUUUAGCAACGGAUCUCAGAUCGGAA
rnacentral:misc_RNA from 1 species